GGCAAUAAACAUUUAUAUAUAGCUUACUAAAUAACAAUGAUUUGAAUUUUGGUGCCAAAAUGACAUCAUCCAUAUUUAUAUAUAUUUAAGGCUAGGCCUGUAGUUGUGGGAGAGGCUUGGGUACCGUUGUUGGUCUGGCGAGUUGAAGGACUACUUCCGAUCAAGUCGCCAUUUUGCUGUCUCUUACCUGAUUCCCUCAUGGUCCAGGUUCCUGUUUCUGUUCUACUUACCUGACCACUCACCAAACGCUACAAGCACGCUGCCUCCUCCAGCUUGCACGGAAACUGGUCUCGAUACGGCUCGUUUUCAACCAUAAGUCAGACCCUUACCAUAGGGCUGAUGUCGUACUCGUUCAGCAUCAUCAUGGUUUGGGUCUAUUCCUAUUCUCAUUUUGUAUAGUUUUCGUAUAAAUUCGGCACUGUUCGCAUUACCACAUGUACGAAUUAGUUUACUUCUAUGUGGUAGGGGCAUUCGGUUCUUUCAACCGCACAAACACGAGCCUUAUUCGGCUAAAGGUCUAAAGAUAUGAAACAGUGGUAUCAAAAUACUAGAAAGUUGUGUGAUAUCUACAGGAUAAAGUAGAGUCUAAAACAAUCAUAAAACACAAGAAAAAUCAUUUAUCGUGUUUGUUGAUUGGAUUGAAAAUGAACACGUCUGAUCUAAUAUAAAACAGUGUUCUGAAGAAUUAGAGUUGAGUUCAGAUCCAGGUUGUAUAUCUUGUUUUCAAGUAAAUUAGUGUGUCGUUGCUACCUGAUAUAUUUCCUACUAAUCAAUCUACUGGUUUAAUUACUAAUUACUUUGAUACUUGAUAUGUUUACC